AACUUUUAACAACGGAUCUCUUGGUUCUGGCAUCGAUGAAGAACGCAGCGAAAUGCGAUAAGUAGUGUGAAUUGCAGAAUUCAGUGAAUCAUCGAAUCUUUGAACGCACAUUGCGCCCUUUGGUAUUCCAAAGGGCAUGCCUGUUCGAGCGUCAUUU
rnacentral:rRNA from 1 species